rnacentral:rRNA from 1 species
GCCAUCCUUAAGCCCACCCAAACCCACAAACCAACCACCAACUUCACCUAAAACAUUAUAAUAGAUCAGUAAAUGUGAUUGAACAUCAACAUUCGACGCAAUAGAGAAAGUACUGCAAAGGAAAAACACUAAAUAUAACACCAGCACAACAUAGCAGAGAUAAACCCACAUACCUUUUGCAUCACCGUCUAGCAAGUACAAAGCAGACAAGAUGAAUCCAAGCCUGCCCCCCCGAAUGCAAGUGAGCUAUUUUUAAGCAGUCUAUAGGACGAACCCGUUUCUGUAGCAAAAGAAUGGGAUGACUUAAAAAUAGAGGUGACAAGCCUAACGAACUUGCCGAUAGCUGGUUGCCUGAUAAACGAAUUUAAGUUCGACCUUGGAUAUCAAACCAUUCUCCACUAAUGAACCCAAUAUCCAAGAGAUAGUCAACUGAGGCUCAGCUCAAUUGACAUGGGAUACAGCCCAAAAUAGAGAAAAAGCAUAAACACCCAACCAGUAGGCCUCAAAGCAGCCACCACAAAAUAUAACGUCACAGGAACAACCAAAAAAUACCAACAAUCAUAACAACUUCCUAUUACCACCCCAGGCCACUCUAUAUAACAAUAGAAGAAACGAUGCUAGAACUAGUAAUAAGAGACACUCUCUAGAACAAGACUUUAACACUCAUCAGACCAAAAAAGACCGAAUGACACAACCUUACUUAAUACAUGCAACCAACUGUAACCCCAACUCAGGAUUGUUCACAAGAAAGACCAACAACCUAAAAAGGAACUCGGCAAACCAUCUUUCCAACUGUUUAACAAAAACAUAGCCAUUAGCUAACCAAGUAUUAAAGGUACUGCCUGCCCAGUGAGGAACCCCCUUAAACGGCCGCGAUAACUCGUGCGAAGGUAGCGCAAUCACUUGUCCUUUAAAUAAGGACCUGUAUGAAUGGCCACAUGAGAAAGAAACUGUCUCUUUAGGUAGGUCAAUGAAACUGAUCUCCCUGUACAAAAGCAGGAAUAACAAAGUAAGACAAAAAGACCCUGUGAAACUUAAAAUAAACUGUCAACCCAUGACAAACACUUUUAGUUGGGGCAACUACAGAGAAACAAAACCUCAAACCAUAUCGUCAAGACAAACAAGUCUAAACGACCAUCCACACCGACCCAGUAUAACUGAUUAAAGAACCAAGCUACUCCAGGGAUAACAGCGCCACAUUCUUGAAGAGUUCAUAUCAACAAGAAUACCUACGACCUCGAUGUUGGAUCAGGAUAACCUAAUGGUGCAGAAGCUAUUAAGGGUUCGUUUGUUCAACGAUUAAUAAUCCUACGCGAUCUGAGUUCAGACCGGAGCAAUCCAGGUCGGUCUUUAUCUACUUAAACGCUCCAGCCAGUACGAAAGGACCACUGAAGCAAGGCCCAUUUUACAAAUACGCCUUAAUAUUACUAUGCUGCACAAAAAUCAAGCAUUAAAUAUAAAAAUACCACUACAAGAAAAGUAAUUCCCAAACAAACU